rnacentral:sRNA from 1 species
UUGACAGCUCUAGAAAAUGAAAUCUAUUUAUCCACAGGACAGAUACAGCACAGGCAGCAGCAGUUCAAGCUUCCUUACAAUGCUUUGCCAAUGAGCAGAGAGAGGCCAGUUCUUAUUCUAAUUCACUAGCUCAUACAGCCCUAAU